rnacentral:rRNA from 1 species
UACGGAGGGAGCUAGCGUUGUUCGGAAUUACUGGGCGUAAAGCGCGCGUAGGCGGCUUUGUAAGUUAGAGGUGAAAGCCCGGAGCUCAACUCCGGAACUGCCUUUAAGACUGCAUCGCUUGAAUCCAGGAGAGGUGAGUGGAAUUCCGAGUGUAGAGGUGAAAUUCGUAGAUAUUCGCAAGAACACCAGGGGCGAAGGCGGCUCACUGGCCCGAUACUGACGCUGAGGCACGAAAGCGUGGGGAGCAAACAGG